GAUGACCCUCAAAAGUUAACAACGUGAUACAAAAACGGGGAUUUGAAAAUGUUAAACAACAAGUUCUGAUACAAAAGGCUUAAAGUCUUUAGUUUUAUUAUAACGACACUAACUCACGAUCGUCUAAGAUGAGAUUGAUUAUUGUAUCUGUACUUGUCGCUGCGGUAUCAGGGGCAGCUAUCACACCUGUUGAAGAGAGAUUAGAAAACAAUUCCACUUCAGGAUUUUUGGAUUCUGAAGUAGAUAUAGAAUUUUGUAAAGACUUAUACGACAAACAAAACAAUAACAGAAAUAAAGAGCAGACAGCAAACACAAAUGAAGGAAACGAAGAACAGACUACUGCGGUAACAGAAUCCGAUUCGUGGGUGACGGGAACUGACGUAAACCUCACGACAUUUGAUAUAAAUGACGAGACCACAACGCAAGACAUGACAGAACUGUUUGCUAUAGAACGGGUAGGAGCUGGGAUUCCCUUUGAAAUUCUAAGCUCAGCUUUGGGCUAAUAUGACUAAUAACAGACAUAUUUUACUUUUGUUCAACUUAGUAGUUGGUAGUGUAUUCAUAAUUCAAUAAAUAGUUCAUGUUGUACUUUUCAGAUGUCAAAAUUGUACUUUUUCAAGGAAGGUUAAUAAAACAUGAA